rnacentral:tRNA from 1 species
GGGGCUGUAGCUCAGUGGCAGAGCGCUUGCCUAGCAUGUGUGAGGUACUGGAUGUGAUCCUUAGCACCACAUAAAAAUAAACAAAUAAAAUAAAGGCAUUCUGGUGCUGGGGCUGGGGCUCAGCAGUAGAUCACUUGCCUAGCAUGAGUGAGGCCCUGGGUUUGAACCCCAGCACCACA